UGGAUGGUGGCACAGCGGUUAGCAUUCUUGCCUCUCAAUAAGGAGGUUUCAGGUUUGAGUCCUGACCAGCCAG